ACACUGCAGCCCAUUUGACUGAGGAACCAGACUUUUGGGUGAUUCAAGAGGCUGGAUUCUAGUACUAUUUCUGCAUCCUACUCUAAGUGAUCUGGGGCAAGAAAAUUCUGUAGUUUGUGCCUGCCCGGCCCACUCCCUUUCUCCGGUAAUGCUUCCUCCAUUUCCAUUUGGGGACCACUCCUCCCCUACUCUCAGUCCAUGUGAGGACUGAGAUCGUCCUCACAAUAAGACUGAGAUCGUCUUAUCUCCAUGUUCGGCCCAUGACCCACGUCUAACCAUGAGGUAGGUGUUCCAGCUCCCCGACUAAAGUAAUUGGUUCAAGAACAGGCAUCUGAUUCAAGUUGGACCAAUCAGAAUCUGUCUCAAGACUUUUGCUACAUUUGUUGUGAAAGAGAUGCUCUUUUCCUGGAGAUUGCUAACCUGGUAACACCCCAAGCCUGAGCUCUGCCACGUGGGCAGAACAUGCCUUAAAAUGAAGUCAACACAGACGAAAGCAAAGCUCAGAAGGGGUGAGAACAAAUCCUGAUGACAUCAUUCAAAUGCCUGGAUCCAACAACAGUACCUGAAGUUAGACCUACAGCUAGAGAUACAUUUGAUUUGAAUUGCUACCGCCUGUAACCAAGAGUUCCAACAAAUACCCAUCACAAUGUACUGGAGUGGGGACAGAAGACCUCCCUAUAGAAGUAUGGUGCAUCUCUCCUGGGGAUGAUAUCCGCUGCAAUCCUGCAUGUCAGUGACUAUCAAAGUGCCAUCUGGAUCAGCUUCACCUGUUGUUAGACGUGCAGAUUCUUAGGCCCCAAUCCAACCUACUGAACCAGAAACUCUGGAGGGGGACAGGCACCGAGUGUUCAACAAGCCCUCCUGAUGGUUCGGAUGCUCACCAAAGUCCAAGAACCACGGAUGCAGGCAAUACAGUCACUGCUUGUUUCAGAGCAGACGAGCGAUUCCAUGAGAGCCUUGUUCAUCAGUAUGUAUUCAUUUAACAAAUAUUUAUUGAGAGCUGAACACUGUGUUAGGCAUUGGAUUCAAGACAGGGUGCCUGCCCUCCAAUUGCUUACAGCCAAGCUCAGGAGCCCGCAAGGAAACAGAUCACAACACUAGGAGGCCACAAAUGCUAAUACAGGACAGGUGAGGGGCCCCGGACAGCGGAGGAGUAUCAGGGAAGACUUCCCAGAGGAGGCUCUGCCUGCACAGGGACUGGAGAAGCUGGCAUUGUCAGACGCAGAGCAGAACACAGUCAAUUGUUCCUGGUGACAGAGACGCUGUCCCGGACCAAACUUCAGCCAGGUUCCCCUGAGCCCUUUUCUCACCUGGGCCUUGAUCUUAGUGCCCAUCCUGUCUUUGGUCUGCCCAGCCCAGACUUAGCAAAGAGUCCUGCCAGGUCAUCCCCUCACCCAGGAGAUCUGAUCACCCUUGAUAUCUGAGCAAAUUCCUCAUCUCUUACCCUGGAUGUCUAGCCCUUUGCCUUUAGCAAGAACCCUGUUAGGUCAGCUUAGCAAAAUCCCCCUACCCUGGACACUCCCUCUUAGUAAUUUUCCAUCCACUGACGCCCUCACUGUGCUCGUUGUGUAUAUCAUUGUUGUAGUGGGAGUUGAGCUCUCUCUCCCUUAUUGCCAAACUCCUAUUACAAUGGUCCUCAAUAACCUUCCUUAUCAGUUUAACAAGUGUCAGAAUAGAUUUUUCUUUAACAUUGGGUGAGGGGAGCCAUUGUGCACAGACCCAGAUGAAGGAGAGAACGUGGACCGGCUCCUUCAGGCCCUUAGGAUAGCUCACAUGUUAGGGCAGAGUGUGAGUGAGGUGGCUGAGGCUCAACCAAGGAGGUGAGCCUAGAGAAGUGAACAGCACCUGUGAGGCUCUCCAGGAGUUUGGGGUUUGUCCUGCAGGCAGCGGGAUGCAGGGAGAUGUUUUAUGCAGAAGAGUGAAAUUCUAGAGCCUUUCAUUGUAGAAAGAUCUCUCUGGCAGGCUGCCUCACAGGGAAUGGACUGGGGACCCCAAGCUUGGAGCCCUGAGAAACCAGAGAGGAAACUGCUCUCCCCAGGGGGGGAAAGAGGGCGUGGACAGGUCUGGACUAGGGCAGGUGGCUACAGGAAAGGAGACAGCUUUGAGAUCCAUUUAGAGAGUGGGUCACACAUCAGAAUCCCCCUGGAGAGAAUUUUUAAAUGAACACUUCCCUGAGCCCACCUUGGAGCCCCUGAAUCAGAAAUUCAAGCAUCUGUCUGUUUAAAAGGCUGCCCUGGUCAGUCAGCUGAAGCCAGGACUGAGAACUACUGAGUAGGAGGCAAAGAGACCCAGCCUGCUGACAGAUUGAUGGGGGAGGACAGGAGCGAAGGGAAGAAAAGAAUGUGUGGGGGGCGUCCCCCAGGAGUCUGUGUGAGUCAUCAGAGAUGCCAGUCACUGCAUUUUCAGAAGGUGAAUCAUGAGUCUGGACUGGGGCAGUCGGGGUCUGAAAGCUACAUCCUCUUCUCUUUAGGUGCCACGAUGCUGGGUUUUCAGGGGGCAAAACCUCACAUAAAUGAACCACUUGAUUAAAGGGAUUGAAUCCAGACUCAUUCAUUCACCUCUCCAUUCAUUCAAGAAAUGUUUACAGAGCACCUGUUAUGCGCUGGAUGCUGUGCUAGGUGCAGGGACACAGUGGUGAGCAAAAUCAGAGACAGUCCCAAUCUCGAGGGUGAGGCUUUAUACAAGUAAUGACUCUAAUAAAUGUAAACUCACCACUGUGCUAAGUGACAUCAAAGCAAAAUACUUAGAGGAUGUGUAAUAGCAGAUGUGAUGCACCCUCGGAGGAUCUGGAAUCCCUUUCUGAGACAGUGCAUCCGACCAGAAGUACAAAGAUAAGUAAGAAUUAGCUAGGCUGAAAGUGGGGAGGAUGCUACAGGCAGAAGGAUGGCAUGAACAAAGACCCUAUGCAGAUGGCCUUCAUCUUUAUGUAAUUGGGUUCUUCACAGGUAUGAGGGCCCAGAUUCUCCAGGCUAUGGGAGAAGCCUCCCCCAGGGAGCUGCCCCCGCCACCCCUUUCAGAAAGCCCACUGUGCAACUGAUGCUGGCAGAAUACCCCCCAUUUGCCACUAUGGGGAGAUGGGGUGGGGGGUUGCUGAAUGGAGUUCCCUGGUGGCCUCCUUAAGUUGGCAGGACACGCCCAGGUGUGUGAGCCCAGACAACCUUGCAGCGAGGUCAUCUGCUGUCUCUGCUGGGGGAAGUGCUUCCUGACAGCUGCUCUGAAGCGAUUCUCCUUCAAUUUCCAUUUUAUAGCUCCUUGUUCCCUCCUCGGUGGGAGGCUGUGUCUCCAAAGAAGUCAGUCUGACAUUGCAGGCUGCAAUUAUGCCCUUCUCCUAGCUGAGAUUUGUUGGUCAUCUCCCAUCUUUGAUGCUGUUAAGUUUCUCUGCAUUUAUUUCUGUUACCCAGGUAUUUAUCAAGCACCUGUGGGGUGCCCAUUACAGAGCUAAGUGUUAUGGUGGGUGAAGAUGGGUAAGAAGAACAUUUGGGAUGGCCUUUCUGUCACCCAAUUCACAACCAAUUAACAAAUGUUUGUAGAGUACAAGCAAGGAAUUGAGGUUUAUGUGUAUCAUUUAAAGCCUCAAAGGUACCCACAUCAGAACUAAAUAUUGCAGUGUAUCUACCUAAAAUUGGAAGGCAGAAGGCAGGAGGAUUAAGUGAGCUAAAUCUUCAUCAAUCAUACUAAGAAGUCAAUAGAUAACGUCCAGAGUUGGUAAAUCAAGGAGCACAGGUAAUAAGGCUUUGACAGGAACCACCAGAGUAUGAUGGUGGUUAAGAGUAUUUAGGUGUAUGGAGUCAGACCUGAGUUGCUUUCUAUUUCUAUUGCUUCCCAGCUAUAUAGGACCUUGGACAGAUCACUUAUUUUUUCUAUGCCUUAGUUUUCCCAUCUGUACAGCGGGCAUAAUAAUGGUAGCUACCUCAUGGGGUUGUGGUGAGCACUCAUGAAAACAAUGUACAGAGAAGUUUAGCACAGAACUCAGCACAUGACAACUCUGUUUUAGCCAAAGCUGAUUGCUCUCUGGGGAACAGGACAUGGGGGAGAGCAGUUGUUUUUUAUUAUAAGUUCUCUGGAUUAUUCAAUUUUGCAACCAUAUGCAUACAUUACAUUGCUGAAAAUAAAAUUUUUAAAUAUAUAUCUACAAACUGGGUAAUCACUAUAGAAAACUGGAGUUUGACUGAACUUCUUUGGCUUGUCUAACUCUGUUUCUGCCACAUUCAAACUCCUCUUUCCUGCCCCAUUUUCAUCCUCAGUUUCCCCACCCCUCCUCGUUCCCUUUCUUUUUGUUGGUCUUGAUUGUCACCCACUCUUAACUGCUCUCUGGAGCCUUGGUGCCCGUAUUGGUUUGUUAGGGUUGCCCUAACAAAAUACCAUGGGUUAGGUAGUUUGAACAGAGCAAAUUAUUUUCUCACAGCUGUGGAAGCUGGAAGUCUAAGAUCAAGCUGUCGGUAGGUUUGGUUUCUUUUGGGGCCUCUCUCCUUGGCUUGCAGUUGGCUACCUUCUUGCUGUGUCCUCAUGUGGCCUUUCCUGUGAGUGCAUUGCCGAUGUCUCUCU